rnacentral:rRNA from 1 species
UGGGGAAUAUUGGACAAUGGGCGAAAGCCUGAUCCAGCCAUGCCGCGUGUGUGAAGAAGGUCUUCGGAUUGUAAAGCACUUUAAGAUGGGAGGAAGGGCAGUAAGCGAAUACCUUGCUGUUUUGACGUUACCGACAGAAUAAGCACCGGCUAACUCUGUGCCAGCAGCCGCGGUAAUACAGAGGGUGCGAGCGUUAAUCGGAUUUACUGGGCGUAAAGCGUGCGUAGGCGGCUAAUUGAGUCGGAUGUGAAAUCCCCGAGCUUAACUUGGGAAUUGCAUUCGAUACUGGUGAGCUAGAGUGUGGGAGAGGAUGGUAGAAUUCCAGGUGUAGCGGUGAAAUGCGUAGAGAUCUGGAGGAAUACCGAUGGCGAAGGCAGCCAUCUGGCCUAACACUGACGCUGAGGUACGAAAGCAUGGGGAGCAAACAGG